AAAAGUAUAUUGAUAUGCUUUUACGUUUGGCCUACAACUCGAGCAUGAAUAGAUGCACGAACGUUAUAAUGAUACAAGACAAGCAUUAUCGACAUCUGCUUUCAUUUCAUAUGCUUUGAAGGAGAAGUGGAGGCCGAAGUAUUAUAAUAUAAAGCAAAUUGGUUUGUUGUUCAGUAAUUGUCACUCAAACGCCAUGCCCUCUUGCUCGAUUUCUAUUGCUGCUGGAGACCACAAUCAACUCCACCGGUGAGCUUCCUGUCGAGAGAAUACGAGCCAGAAACCCACCGGCUGCCAUCUCCUGCUCAUAACCGUUGCAGCACCUCAUUCGAUUGUUGAGCAAACCGACAAGCACCCCAUGAAGAUCGAUGCUCCCCUCUGAAUCGAACCUCAAGUCCAAUGAAUCGAACGAUGUAACAUUUCUUCCCCAGAAUUCCACCCCCAUUUCUCCCAACCACUGCCAUGAAACCCAACGCUUGUCGUCACCCCUGAUUGUUUAUCAGAUGCAAACUUCUACGACUUUACCCACUUCCCACCGCUGCCCUUAAUUGUUCAUCACCAUCAUCUCCUUCACCUUAGAGCAAAAAAAAUGUAUGUUUUGGUUUAGGUUUAAUUUCAAGUUUGUUCAUUUGUGUUGCUAACCACGAUUAUGAUUUCAUCUGUGGUUUUUUAGUUUAAAUUUUGGGUAUCAAUUUAUCAUAGUUGGGUUUAAUUUUUAGGUUUGAGCACCCAUGACAUCAUUUUGGGCAUUGAGUUUAGAUAUGGGUAAGAAAGGGAGGUGGUGGUGGUGGACGAUGUCAAUGUAGAUGUGGUGGUGGUGGUAGAUUUCAGGGAUGGUAGCAGUGAUGUUUGAUAUUUGAUGGUUAUGGUGAUGCAUAUCACAGGUGGUGGUGGUUUCUGGGUCACGAAUGGAUGAUCUUGUUCAUAGGAAUUGAUUCCUUGAGACCAACCAUAUAUUGUUAAAUGGAAUUUGUUCUAUUACAUGAUGUAAUUACUUAAUUUAAUGAUAUUAUAACCUUUUUUUCUCA